rnacentral:rRNA from 1 species
CAGCAGCCACGGGAAUACGGAGGGGGCUAGCGUUGUUCGGAAUUACUGGGCGUAAAGCGCACGUAGGCUGCUUUGUAAGUCAGAGGUGAAAGCCCGGGGCUCAACCCCGGAUGUGCCUUUGAGACUGCAGAGCUAGAGCGUCGGAGAGGUGAGUGGAAUUCCGAGUGUAGAGGUGAAAUUCGUAGAUAUUCGGAAGAACACCAGUGGCGAAGGCGGCUCACUGGACGACUGUUGACGCUGAGGUGCGAAAGCGUGGGGAGCAAACAGGAUUAGAUACCCCAGUAGUCCCUGUCUCUUAUAC